AUCUGGGAAAUGUAGUCUAGCUACGUGCCCAAGAGAAAGAGAAAACCACCUUUGUGGAACACAUAGUAAUUUCUACUGCAAAGGUUGAGAGGUGGGGAAUGUCAAAAAUGAAAAGAAGCAAAGGUAAGAUAGGAGGGAAAGAGGCGAAGAAAGGCUAAGGGUGGGAGAGAGAAGAUAGGAAGCAAAACAGCACAGAGGAAUCUGAAGGAGUUUGUGUAAGUCAUCUAAGCAGUGCAUUUGAGACUGGCUACCACUAGGAAUCAGCAAGUCCCCCUGUGGCCUGUGCUGUUUCCGAACCAAGAGAACUAAGAGAAACCAUGGCCAGAAGUUGAGGAACACUGUGAAACUCUGGGGUGAGCUUGCAUUUGCAGACAGGAACUGAAGGGCUGGAGAGGUUAUACUCACCCAGUUGCAGUUGCCCAGCAUGUGAAAGAGGAGACAUUCUAAACCCUGCACUUAAAAUAAAUAAAUAAAUAAAGUUACAGACUGUCUUUUAUUUUGCAAUAUCUAGGUUAGUUCCCUAUAGG
rnacentral:lncRNA from 10 species